rnacentral:rRNA from 1 species
UCUUCGGAUGCUGACGAGUGGCGAACGGGUGAGUAAUAGUCGGAACGUGCCCAGUGAUGGGGGGUAGCUCGGCGAAAGCCGGAUUAAUACCGCAUACGCCCUGAGGGAGAAAGUGGGGGAUCGCAAGACCUCACGUUAUUGGAGCGGCCGAUGGCUGAUUAGCUAGUUGGUAGGGUAAAGGCCUACCAAGGCGACGAUCAGUAGCUGGUCUGAGAGGACGAUCAGCCACACUGGGACUGAGACACGGCCCAGACUCCUACGGGAGGCAGCAGUGGGGAAUUUUGGACAAUGGGGGAAACCCUGAUCCAGCAAUGCCGCGUGUGCGAAGAAGGCCUUCGGGUUGUAAAGCACUUUUGUCAGGGAAGAAAUCCUUUGGGCUAAUACCCUAGGGGGAUGACGGUACCUGAAGAAUAAGCACCGGCUAACUACGUGCCAGCAGCCGCGGUAAUACGUAGGGUGCAAGCGUUAAUCGGAAUUACUGGGCGUAAAGCGUGCGCAGGCGGUUGUGUAAGACAGGUGUGAAAUCCCCGGGCUUAACCUGGGAAUUGCAUUUGUGACUGCACGACUAGAGUGUGUCCGAGGGGGGUGGAACUCCACGUGUAG